UGAGUUUGACGCCAGGCUAGUCUUCU
rnacentral:piRNA from 1 species